GACAAAAAUGCUUGACGGGCUAGUGGAGAGUAUGACUGACAGGUUCCAGGACACCAGUGUAGAGGUCCUGUGUGCCACCAAGCUGGUCAGCUUCACCAACUGGCCAGAGUCAGGAGAUGCAUCAGCAGGUUACUUUAUGUUUUCUAUUACAGAUUUUGGUGACACUGAACUGGAAACCCUAGUCGACCAUUUCAUGCUUGUCCUGGAGACCUCUGGCAUCCAUGUUGAAAGGAUCCCUGACCAGUGGACUGUCGUGGAGACCUCUGGGAUCCAUGUUGAAAGGAUCCCUGACCAGUGGACUGUCCUGGAGACCUCUGCUAUCCAUGUUGAAAGGAUCCCUGACCAGUGGACUGUCCUGGAGACCUUUGGUAUCCAUGUUGAAAGGAUCCCUGACCAGUGGACUGUCCUGAAGGUUCUGAUGUACCAAGAGCCCCAGUCCCUGCAGAAGAUGUCCUGGUUCCAUGUCAACAGGAGCCAUCAGCAUUCCUGCCCUGAUUUGCUGGCAUUGGUUGACCUGGUCCUGUCCUUCCCUGCCUCCACAGCUGAAUGUGAAAGAGGUUAUAAUACCAUUAAACAGGUGAAAACCUAUUUGGCGGACCAACCCAAGGUCUGAUACACUGUCAGAUCUCCUUAUGGUCCAGCUGUCCUCUUAAGAAAUCAGGAAGUAUGAUCCGAUAAAAGCUGUGAUGCUGUGGCACCAGGACUCUAACAAGAGCAGAAGGCCAGACUUGAUUGUGGUGAUCAUGGUAGAGAGUGAGGAGUCUGAUGUUAAAGUUGAUUAAAAUGAUUAAGCAUCUGAUAGGUUUACAAACCUUCAAAUUUACUUUUAUGUUUGAUCCUUAAGUACAUUUAAUAGCAAAUGCUUCAGUAGAAUUUUGAAUUUGGCUUCUUCAGUUGUAUUCAGGCUGGGAAAUGAAAUGUAGCCGCAGCCAACAUUAACCAGCAUCUGACAAGUCUCUAUUUUACCUGUAUUUUAUCAGGGUAUUUCUACUCAAAGUAAAGGAUUUGUAGACCUGCUUCCCCUGUUUCCCCUUUGUAUCAGGAGAGCACCAGUUCUAUGUCCACUGCACUUCUCAUAAUUGUAUUUUGUCAUUGCUGUUUCCCUGUUUUGACUUGUACUCUAUGUACUCUUAUUCUUUGUAUCUGCUAUGUUUUGUUUAUUUCAUUGUGUGCCCGUUGUUUGGCAUUUUUGCACUCUGUAUAGCACUUUUGGUCAACUACACAGCACUUUUGGUCAACUACAGUUGUGCUUUACAAAUAAACUUGAUUUGAUUCGUUGAUCCAAAUAUUUAAAUAAUUUUGCUUCAAAUUUUGCUCUGGCCUCUUCUUUAAGUUUGUAUUCAACAUAACACCUUAUUAUCUCAAUGAAAUGUACUGAAAUUAAUGUAUAUAUGACACAAAAAGGCAAUUUAUUAUUUUGGCCAGUAAAAAAUAUGCUUGGCUGGUGGAUUUUUUUCAUCUACCAGUACCCUUGGCAAAAAAAAAUCAUUUUGGACACUGAGCACACAUCUGCCACAUGAAAUGCGAUUUUAAUCAGUCAGUCAGUCACACUCACCAACCGCCCUGCCUCUCACUGCUAAUAACUAAAUGUUAUGGAGCUCUACUGAACCACCCCGGCCUAUUCUGUAGUGUAACCCACAGUUCAGCUGUGGAUGCCUUUUGAAUGAAGGAUUUUCCUAAUGGGCUGCUGGAUGUGAAUAUUCCAUGGCUGAGUUGGGUGGCCUGGAUCUCUGUAGUCUGAACCACAGGAAAACAUUAAGCCCAAGCCUGAGCAAAUGACUGACCAAGAUUACAGUAAUACCUGGAGCUAAAUGCAUCUACAGUCUAUCAAUCACUAUCGAACACCUAUUUAUAAAGCAUUACUCACACUGUAACUGGUUGAAAUCGUCUGUAGUACUUGAUUCUGUCUCUCACACAGCACUGUUAAUGCCUAACAGGUGGAAUAACACAAUUAUUUUUGUUUGUUCAUUUCCCAUCUCGGUUUUUCUACCAGAGCUGCUGCCUCAGUCAUGAAACGUAUGAGUUAAAAUCAUAGCAACUUGGGCAAGCAUUUAUUUUCGAUAUAUUUAUGACACAUAAUGAGCAAAUUACAGCCAUUUUAUAAUUAAACCAGCCGAUUGUACCACUGUUAUACCCCCUCCAUCUAUAAAGAUAAAUCUCACUCAUCCAUUUGUGGAGAUUGAAGUGUGGGCUAGGCCUUGUGAACGUUGUAUGGUUGGUUGCUAUGUAAUAUAAAUACAUACUUAGGUCACGCCAAUGUUAUCGUCUAUAAAAUAAAAGCCUC
rnacentral:lncRNA from 13 species